GAUUAUGUAGAAAAAGUUAUUCCACUCUUAAUUCUUUAUUUCUCCAUUUUAGCAGGGGAUGCAUUUUACGGCAGAGCCUGUCAUUAGCUUGCCAAAAUAUGCAUGCCCCCUCUAUUUUUCUCAAAUAUAAUCCUAUUGAGAUGAAAUUCAUACCAGUAGCUAAGAGGAUAAGUGUAAUUAUGUAGAAAAGGUAAAAUCCCUCUUGACUCUUUCUUUUUUCAAGCUAGGAGGGGGAUGCAUUUUUUGGCAAUAUCGAAUUUGAGCCUGCCGAUAUUUGCAUGCCAUACCUAUUUUCCCCAAAUAUCAUCCUAUUGAUAUAAAACUCAUACCAGCAGUUAAGGGAACAAAUGUGAUUAUGUAGAAAAUGUUAUUUCUUUAUUAUCGCUAUUGCAAGGAUACUGAAGGAAAUAAAUCUGACAAUGCAUCUUUGCUAAAUGUAAAGCAUGCACAAACCAUUUUUAUUUUGGUUUAACAUAAAAAUUAAAUCACUUUUUUUCAUUAAUUUCAACAAAAGAAUAUUCAUAACAAUAGGUUUCCUUAACUCACUUGGAGAGUCCCAAAAAGAUGUGAAGAGGUGCUUGGAAGCAACAAGGUGAGAAAAACAAUAACAAUUAUUGUUUAUUAUAAUAAAAAAUGUCAUAAUUGGAUAACUAGAAUGUUAAUUUAACAUUUUAUCCUCUCAACAAGGACAUUUAUGAGAAGCAAAGGGAUGAAAGUGUCAAUGUGGAAAUGUGAAACAGUAUAACAUGCCAUCCAGCAAGAUGUGGUUUCAUGUGGUGUGUUUGCGCUUAAAUUUGCAGAGUGCAUACUGGAAAACAAGGACCAGAACUUUCCAUCAACAGCAGAAGCUGUUAAUACCAUGCGACUCAACAUUUCUUCCACACUUCUCUCAGAAUCAGAGUCAGUGGAGACUCUACAGACUCUGCAGACACUGUGGCAGUGAGGACACAGAAGAUCACAUGUGGAUCACAUGUGACAGAUGCAACUGGUGGUACCACCAAGGCUGCAUUAAGGUCCCACAAACCGACACAGACUACUGCUGUGCAAUGUGUUUAUAGAUUUUAUGUUUGUACCAAUCUAAUUCGUUAAUGACUGCAGUUAAGUGGAUUUUCAGUUUAAACAUGUGACAUAAUUUUUGUUGACUUAAUUGGUUUUCCAAACAUUUUUGUUAUGAAUAUUCUUUUGUUGAAAUUAAUGAAAAAAAGUGAUUUAGUUUUUAUGUUAAACCAAAAUAAAAAUGGUUUGUGCAUGCUUUACAUUUAGCAAAGAUGCAUUGUCAGAUUUAUUUCCUUCAGUAUCCUUGCAAUAGCGAUAAUAAAGAAAUAACAUUUUCUACAUAA